GGUCUCAUAGCUCAGUGGUUAGAGCAUGCGAUUGCAGUCCUAAGGGGUUAGAUAUCGCAGGGCCGCGUGUUCGAAUCACGCUGGGACCU